AUAUCAAAAGUCGGAGGAA
rnacentral:rRNA from 1 species